AUUGUUGAAUUCUUCU
rnacentral:sRNA from 1 species